rnacentral:tRNA from 1 species
ACCUGACUGGCUCAGUCGGAAAAGCAUGCAACUCUUGAUCUCAAGGUUGUGAGUUCAAGCCCCACGUUGGGUG